UACGUAGGGUGCAAGCGUUAAUCGGAAUUACUGGGCGUAAAGCGUGCGCAGGCGGUGAUGUAAGACAGGUGUGAAAUCCCCGGGCUUAACCUGGGAACUGCAUUUGUGACUGCAUCGCUGGAGUGCGGCAGAGGGGGAUGGAAUUCCGCGUGUAGCAGUGAAAUGCGUAGAUAUCAGGAGGAACACCAAUAGCGAAGGCAGCUCGCUGGGACGUUACUGACACUGAGGCGCGAAAGCGUGGGGAGCGAACAGG
rnacentral:rRNA from 1 species